CGUCAUCUUAACGAAGAUUCUUGUCAUUCCAUUUAAUGCGACACCACAUAUCUCCUCAUUUGCUAUACCAUAGGUAUCGCGAAUGAUCGCUGGUAAUAAUAAAUCCAUGUUGGAUCCUGUGACAGCACCACGGAUCAUCUCAAUGCAGACAGUGUUGAUUCUUCUUCUGCUAUUCAGCGCCAUGUUGGAGAAAAUAAAGUUUCCACCAACCAACGCUAGGGGCAGCUCAAUCAGGUAAACUGCGCAAAACAAACUCAAACAGGAGCGUCUGCGCAGCUCGUCCACACGGCUCGGAGGCGAUGAGGACAAUUCCCCCUUGAUUGUAAUAAUAAUAAUUAUCUCCCUGAUACACCCAGUCAACUAACUGCAUGAAAACCACCUGGUGGUUCACACUCACACACCCAAUUGACUAUAAACACAGAAUUAAGAAUCAUAAAAUAAUGAAUUCUAACUAGUCAUAAGUUUGCCUUUGAUACUCCAGUACAGAAACUAUGUAUUGUACCAAAACAAAAACAUUCACAUUGCUAAAUUUACAAACGCUAAUGUAGUUAGCCUUAAUACCAACUUGCUCCAUAAUCUGUAAUAAUUUAGAGUUAUGAAUUAGUCUGCCCAAAAUGCCUAGCCAUGCUAGGUGUGAUAAUGGCCUCCUCUGUAAUUAGUAUUUUAUAACAUGUAAAUCACACAAUAUUGUGAGGGAAAAGUAGGUGUAAGUGGGGUUAAGGUUGUUCGGGCAACCAGGAACCAUUAGCGAGUUACGUUGCGCGCGCACUCACCCCCCCCUCUCUGGCGGGCUGGGGCAAAACUAGUUCCUGGUGUCCGAUUUGUUAAAGUUUCUACUCCUGGUAAUAUUGACCUUACCUGGUGUGGAUUGAAGUUUGGAGAGUCACUUCGCCUCCACUCUUCUCCUAAUCAGCUCUGUUCCUGGCGUGGUCUUCCAGGAUAGACGCCAGAUAAAGGGGCAAGACGUGUUAAUAGUACUUAUUAACAUUAUUCUACAACUACCGGCCCUUACCUAUACUACUUGUGCUCCAUCCAAGUGGUAGGAGAUUCCAGAACAUCGGAUUACCAUCUGCCCAGGAUAACCUACAUAAAUAACAUCAGAGGAACUAUCCAGGGCCAUACCUACUCCUACCCAACUACAAGAACUGAAGGCCAUUUUUUUUUUUAUUAUAUUUAAAUUUUAAGUAAAAUUCUCAAAAAUCAU